rnacentral:rRNA from 1 species
CCUACGGGGGGCAGCAGUGGGGAAUUUUGCGCAAUGCUCGUAAGAGUGACGCAGCGACGCCGCGUGAAUGACGAAGGCCCUCGGGUUGGAAAGUUCCUUCGACAGGGAAGAAAAUGCCUAUAAGUAACUGUGUAUGUAUUGACGGUACCUGUAUAAGCAGCCCCGGCUCACUCCGUGCCAGCAGCCGCGGGAAUACGGAGGGGGCGAGCGUUGUUCGGAGUGACUGGGCGUAAAGAGCACGUAGGCGGUGUUGUAAGUCAUUAGUCAAAGGCUGGAGCUCAACUUUAGUAAGGCUAGUGAUACUAGAAUACUAAAGUAUCAGGGAGGAAUGCAGAAUUCGUGGUGUAGCGGUGAAAUGCGUAGAUAUCAGGAGGAAUACCGGUAGCGAAGGCGGCUAUCUGGCUGGAAACUGACGCUGAGGUGCGAAAGCGUGGGUAGCAAACAGGAUUAGAUACCCGAGUAGUC